rnacentral:rRNA from 1 species
AGAAUCAACGCUGGCGGCGUGCCUAACACAUGCAAGUCGAACGAGAAAGUGGAGCAAUCCAUGAGUAAAGUGGCGACCGGGUGAGUAACACGUGACUAACCUACCCUUGAGUGGGGGAUAACUGAGGGAACCUUAGCUAAUACCGCAUAAUACCCACGGGUCAAAGGAGCAAUUCGCUCGAGGAGGGGUCGCGGCCGAUUAGUUAGUUGGCGGGGUAAUGGCCCACCAAGACGAUGAUCGGUAU